AGAGCGAACGCUGGCGGCAGGCCUAACACAUGCAAGUCGAGCGCGUGUAGCAAUACACGAGCGGCAGACGGGAGAGUAACACGUGGGAACGCGCCCUUCGGUUCGGAAUAACUCAGGGAAACCUUAGCUAAUACCGCAUAAUACCCACGGGUCAAAGGAGCAAUUCGCUCGAGGAGGGGGUCGCGGCCGAUUAGUUAGUUGGCGAGGGUAAUGGCCUACCAAGACGAUGAUCGGUAU
rnacentral:rRNA from 1 species